GUGGAUGUACCGGAGUGGUUAUCGGGCAUAACUAGAAAUCGUGUGGGUUCCGCCACGCAAGUUCGAAUACUGCCAUUCAUG